rnacentral:rRNA from 1 species
CGGACGGGUGAGUAAUGCCUAGGAAUCUGCCUGGUAGUGGGGGACAACGUUUCGAAAGGAACGCUAAUACCGCAUACGUCCUACGGGAGAAAGCAGGGGACCUUCGGGCCUUGCGCUAUCAGAUGAGCCUAGGUCGGAUUAGCUAGUUGGUGAGGUAAUGGCUCACCAAGGCGACGAUCCGUAGCUGGUCUGAGAGGAUGAUCAGCCACACUGGAACUGAGACACGGUCCAGACUCCUACGGGAGGCAGCAGCC